GGUCAAACAGACUCGAUAUGUAUUAGCGAAGAUGUGGCCCGACAUUUCAUUAGUGUUAGCAGUUUCUGAGUACAAAGUUCAGAAGUAAAUACGGUGGUUGCAUUCUAAUGCUCUGCCCUCUUAGGCUUGGGGGAAUCGCCAGCAGUGUUAAAGCCCAGGCACAGCAAAAACGAAAGAAAGCAUACAGAGGUGAAAGAAAGAUUCUGAGAAAAAAAAAUAGAAUAUCAGCAGAGCUGGUGGGAAUAAGAACAUCUGCAUAGCAUGCCCUGCCAUCAGCUGGGUAUCAGUCGAAAGAGUCCUAUAAAAUAAAAACAAUUUUCUGUUGUCUUUUUCUGCCCAAGCAAUCUCCCUCGUCAUCCCAUAACGCAUAGAGCUGAGACGAAAGUACACAUCAGAAGCGGGAAGAAAAAUAAAAAUAAAAAAAUACAAUGAAAAAAAUUUCCCGUUUAACUCAAGUCGUUCAGAGAUUGCCCUUUGAAGGAAACGCCACUCCCUCCGUAGCAUGAGUAUCUGUAAACCAGCUCACUUUCUCCGCACCAGCGGCAUUCACCAAAGCGCAUGGCAGACUCCUCCCGUCCUCUGUAUCAAAGAUCCGCCUCAUGAUGUCCUUCUUCCCUCCACCCGUCGCCACAAAAGCAAUUCUCAGCCCAUGUAUAACAACUGGCAGCGUGAGCGUAAUGCGCUUAGGUGGCGGCUUGGGCGAAUCCGAAAUUGGUGCGACCCAGGCGUCUGAUUCGCGAAGGAGUUCAUGGCCAGGGAACAGGCUGCAGGUAUGUCCAUCUGGGCCACAGCCGAGCAGAAGGAGGUCGAAGACGGGCAACUUCACGCUGUCCUUGGCAGCGAAGGAGUGCAUCAGUUCUUCCUGAUACUGGUCUGCUACUUCCUGCGGAUCAUCGUCAGAGAUAUGUGUAAUAUCGAUUGGGUGGACUAUAGGCGUUCCGAGCUCUGGGGGGAUCUUAUCGAGUAGUUCAGUCUUUACGAGGCGAUAAUUGCUGUCUUCGUGAUCUAGUGGUACGACUCGUUCAUCGGCAAAGAAGAUCUCCCAUGAGGAAAAUCGGGGGCUGUCUUCUUCACUGCCGUUGGUGGGGGCGAGGAGUGCCUUGGCAAGGACAGCUGGCAGCGAGCCACCAGAGACGGCGACGCGGAAAACGUCAUGUCUGGCAAUGGCUGUGUUCUGGGACUUCAGGACAUAUUUCCGAAGCUGUGUUGCAAGAACGUCGGUGUCAGGGAAUACGUAGAGGUUUGGAGAACCCCCCAUGGCUGAACUGGCUGAAUUGGAGUUGAGGCGGGGUAGAUGAAGCAAGCAGUGGGGUAUAGAUAUAAGACGGCGAGCAAACCUGGAACGAUGCUGUGUGAAGCGAGACAGUCUGACAGGGUCGUUUUGAGCAACGGUGUAUCGUCAGGUUAAUUGGAAGAGGGUGGCCUGAGGACAGUGCCCAUGUUUUUGGC
rnacentral:sRNA from 2 species